ACUUAUCUGUCAUAUUUUUUGACAUAAUAUGUCAAUUUUUUUGUUAAAAUUUUCAAUUACAAGAGUUUAUCUAAGUUGUCGCAGCCCUUAAACUCUUUGCGUUUUCUCGCAUUCGAUAACCGAAGGUUUGAAGAGUUUUCUAGAAUUUUCGAAAUUGUGAGUACUCAAAAUUCAUGGCUAGUAUGAUUUUUUUUUUAAAUGGUUUUCAAUAAACUGCUAUAACUCAGAUUUUUCAAAUGGAAUGACCCUUAAUUUCUUAACGGCACUCGAAAGAAUAUCAAUAUAAAGUCCGGGACAUUUCUAUUUGGACAUAAAAAAUUUGAAUUUUCUGACAUUUAUACGUGUAUUCAGCGUCUGUGUGAACAAAAAAUGUUCUCUCUCUCAUUCUAUGGUCCUUGAGCUUUAAUAACAGGGACAUUUUUUAAAUUGGUAGCAUUAGAAAAUGACAGUAAACAGCUGACUGAUGUAAACAAUAACACAAUAACAAAGGAAAUGUUAUAAUUUUAAUCUAUAUAACCAGUGGCUGCUUUAAAAGUGUGUACUAACGGGAUAAUAACAUAUUUACGCAAGUAUUUUUGAAGGUAGAAACAUUACUUGUCAUAUAACAACUACUCAGAUUAUAUGAUGAGACGGGAAUGGCACAAUACAGAAUUGCAGUCAGUGAUUGUGAUGGAGAAAGCCGCUGUGAAGUACUGACAGUACUGACUAUCGCUGGUUGUACGAUUUGUGCAAUUUGUGAUAUAUUUUGUGUGAAAAACUGGAAAACAAAGUGCAUCACUGCAUAACCUCACUUAUCGCAGUUUUGCACAUUUUGAUGAUGGGAAUUGCGGUUCAAGUAAUUAUGAGUUAUAGAUGGAGAGCCCUGUUUACUUCAAACUGAAGCCUUUUGGGUCCACUUUGUUCGUUAUUUCCUGGCAGCCACUCUUGUUUCAAGCAGAGUGGGUGUAAAGUUAAAAAUAAUCCCGUAAAAUUGUUAAUAUAACUCCUUUGCACUGGCAUGGGGUAUUUGAAAACUUAUGUUUAACAAAUACGUCACAAAGUCUCAGCCAUCGUCGAAAAACAUAAUAAGGGCUUUAUAACAAGAAGCGCUUUCUGAUUUUACUGUGGACGUGUGGAAGAAUAGUGUGAAAUAUUGCGAAAAACCAACUUUUACUCUUGUUUACAUUUUUGUACGUCUAUCUGAGAGUAGUCUCUUGUAUAAAAAAUAUAGCCUACUAAUAAAGGAAAUUAAAGUGUUUUUAUUUCUGGGUUGCCCCCAAUUCCACUUCGCCCUUGCCUGAUAAUCAAGACACUGAUAAUGAAAUUGGUGUAAGUGCAUCGAAUACAAACGUGUUGAAUAGAUGAAUAAAAGAGAGACAACUGCUUUUUUCAAAAAGGCCAUUUCAAAUUUAUUCAAAAAGCACACCCCCACUGAAAAGGGUCCAUUCACGAUGAAGUUUGGCUUCCUGCAUGACAUAGGUUUCGGGCACCAAUCACACUGUAAAUGGUCUAAAUUGGUCUUACAUCUCUCAGACAUGGACUCACUGAGAGCGACUUCUGCAGUAGGCUUGAGGCCUGCCUGCCUGUCUCGCAACAAUCUCUGCAUUAUGAUUCCAAAUCAUUCUAUAAAACGCUGUCAAUUACAAGCCAUGAUAUGAGGCAUGAGGCCGUCUUAGUGUUUUCGAAUGUUGGUGCAAAGACUUGUCGCGAGGCAGGUUUCAGCCUUCCGCCAACGUCAGUCUCAGUGAAACCCUCUCAAAGUGAUCUCAGCGAAAACCAUUCACAAUGAGAUUGGUCUAUGAGGCCUAUGUCGUGCCGCAUGCAGCGAGAUAUGUCUCAUUGUUAAUGAAAAUAGGGCCUUUUUUGUUGUUUAAAGUCGUUUUUUAAAACUUUUGUGGCAAAUUUUACUGAUGUGGCAGAGAGGGGGCAUGCACUUGGAACAUGACGGUGACUACCCUGAAAGGCACUUCGAGGCUUUUAUGACCUUUUUAAUGCAAAUUUCAACUUUAAACCUGACAGUCAUACCAAGGUCAAACAUAACCUCAACAGUAAUCCAGCAACGGUACUUCAAAGCAUUUGAAAGUUUCUCCAUUUGUUUUUAAGUGUUCUAGUUGGUACAUUUUGCUGUACUUUACUACAAUAAAGAAAUAUUUAAAUUUU